CCUACGGGAGGCUGCAGUGAGGAAUAUUGGUCAAUGGGCGCUAGCCUGAACCAGCCAAGUAGCGUGCAGGAUGACUGCCCUAUGGGUUGUAAACUUCUUUUAUAUGGUGAUAAAGUGCAGUAUGUAUACUGCUUUGCAUGUACCUUAUGAAUAAGGAUCGGCUAACUCCGUGCCAGCAGCCGCGGUAAUACGGAGGAUCCGAGCGUUAUCCGGAUUUAUUGGGUUUAAAGGGUGCGUAGGCGGGUUGUUAAGUUAAUUGUGAAAUUUUGCGGCUCAACCGUAAAAUUGCAUUUGAUACUGGCAGCCUUGAGCACAGUAGAGGUAGGCGGAAUGCGUGGUGUAGCGGUGAAAUGCAUAGAUAUCACGAAGAACUCCGAUUGCGAAGGCAGCCUGCUGGACUGUAACUGACGCUGAUGCUCGAAAGUGUGGGUAUCAAACAGGAUUAGAUACCCCUGUAGUC
rnacentral:rRNA from 1 species